rnacentral:rRNA from 1 species
AUGCAUGUGUAAGCGAAGCGAUAAGUGGAGCGGUGAAAGGCUCAGUAACGGGCGAUUUAUUUGAUCUCCUGGGACGGACAACAUCGGGAAACUGAUGGGAAAACGUCUAAGUUGCAGUUUUUUUUUGAUUGCGACGUAAACCUUUUGGUGCAGGAGAGUAAGAUGCCAUCCUAUCAGUUAGUAAGUAGGGUAAGGGCCUACUUAGACGAAGACGGGUACGGGGAAUGAGGGUUUGAUUCCGGAGAGGGAGCCUGAGAGAUGGCUACCAGGACCAAGGUCAGCAGCAGGCGCGAAAAUUAUCGAAGCCCGCCUAGGGGCGAUAGUGAGGAGACGUGUAUACGAAGUACGUGUAAAGACCGUACUAAUAACUGGAGGUCAAGUCUG